GGUACUGUAGCUCAGUGGUAGAGUGCUUGUCUAGCACACAUGAGGCACUGGGUUCAAUCCUCAGCACCA
rnacentral:tRNA from 1 species